UACGGGGGGGGCAAGCGUUGUUCGGAAUUACUGGGCGUAAAGGGCCAGUAGGCGGCCAACUAAGUCGGAUGUGAAAUCCCCAGGCUCAACUUGGGAACUGCAUCCGAUACUGGAUGGCUUGAAUUCGGGAGAGGGAUGCAGAAUUCCAGGUGUAGCGGUGAAAUGCGUAGAUAUCUGGAGGAACACCGGUGGCGAAGGCGGCGUCCUGGACCAACACUGACACUGAUGAGCGAAAGCCAGGGGAGCAAACGGG
rnacentral:rRNA from 1 species